CCGCAAGGUUAAAACUCAAAUGAAUUGACGGGGGCCCGCACAAGCGGUGGAGCAUGUGGUUUAAUUCGAUGCAACGCGAAGAACCUUACCUGGUCUUGACAUCCACAGAACUUUCCAGAGAUGGAUUUGUGCCUUCGGGAACUGUGAGACAGGUGCUGCAUGGCUGUCGUCAGCUCGUGUUGUGAAAUGUUGGGUUAAGUCCCGCAACGAGCGCAACCCUUAUCCUUUGUUGCCAGCGGU
rnacentral:rRNA from 1 species